rnacentral:rRNA from 1 species
GAUGAACGCUGGCGGCGUGCCUAAUACAUGCAAGUCGAGCGAACAGACGAUGAGCUUGCUCCUCUGACGUUAGCGGCGGACGGGUGAGUAACACGUGGAUAACCUACCUAUAAGACUGGGAUAACUUCGGGAAACCGGAGCUAAUACCGGAUAAUAUAUUGACCCGCAUGGUUCAAUAGUGAAAGACGGUUUUGCUGUCACUUAUAGAUGGAUCCGCGCCGCAUUAGCUAGUUGGUAAGGUAACGGCUUACCAAGGCAACGAUGCGUAGCCGACCUGAGAGGGUGAUCGGCCACAUUGGAACUGAGACACGGUCCAGACUCCUACGGGAGGCAGCAGUAGGGAAUCUUCCGCAAUGGGCGAAAGCCUGAUGGAGCAACGCCGCGUGAGUGAUGAAGGUCUUCGGAUCGUAAAACUCUGUUAUUAGGGAAGAACAAAUGUGUAAGUAACUAUGCACGUCUUGACGGUACCUAAUCAGAAAGCCACGGCUAACUACGUG